rnacentral:rRNA from 1 species
AGGUAAUAGAUACCCGGGUAGUCCACGCUAUAAACGAUCAAUACUAGGUGUGCGGGGACUGACCCCCUGCGUGCCGGAGUUAAACACAAAUAAGUAUUGCACCUGGGGAGGUACGAUCGCAAGGUUGAAACUACAAAGGAAUUGACGGGGGCCCGGCACAAGCGGUGGAUUAUGUGGUUUAAUUCGAAGCAACGCGAAGAACCUUACCAGGGCUUGACAUCCUACUAAUGAAGCAGAGAUGCAUUAAGUGCCCUUCGGGGUAAAGUAGAGACAGGUGGUGCAUGGUUGUCGUCAGCUCGUGUCGUGAGAUGUUGGGUUAAGUCCCGCAACGAGCGCAACCCCUACUUGUUAGUUGCUACGCAAGAGCACUCUAGCGAGACUGCCGUUGACAAAACGGAGGAAGGUGGGGACGACGUCAAAUCAUCAUGCCCCUUAUGUCCUGGGCCACACACGUAAUACAAUGGCGGUCAACAGAGGGAUGCUAAGCCGUGAGGUGGAGCGAACCCCUAAAAGCCGUCUCAGUUCGGAUUGCAGG